CAUGGUGUAGCUCAGUUGGUAGAGCCCCGUUCGGCAUGUGGGCAGUCGCGGGUUCGAUUCCUGCCUCCAUGGCCC
rnacentral:tRNA from 1 species